rnacentral:rRNA from 1 species
GGGAUGACACAGUGGAUAAGCUAAGCACACUGUUGGUUAUGUGUGCCCAAGCAUUGAGGCAGUCAAAGUAGGCAAAUCCGCGUUGAUAAUGCUGGGAUGUGAUGGGGAGCGAGAUUUAGCAGCGAAGGAGCUGAUUUCACACUGUCAAGAAAAGUCUCUAUCGAGGUUAAAGGUACCCGUACCGCAAACCGACACAGGUGGGUGAGGAG